rnacentral:tRNA from 1 species
GGCGCUGUAGCCAAGUGGUUUAAGGCGAAGGUCUGCAAAACCUUUAUUCGUGGGUCCGAAUCCCACCGGCGCCUCAA